rnacentral:rRNA from 1 species
UCAGGACGAACGCGGCGGCGUGCCUAAUACAUGCAAGUCGAGCGGACAGAAGGGAGCUUGCUCCCGGAUGUUAGCGGCGGACGGGUGAGUAACACGUGGGUAACCUGCCUGUAAGACUGGGAUAAUCCGGGAAACCGGAGCUAAUACCGGAUAGUUCCUUGAACCGCAUGGUUCAAGGAUGAAAGACGGUUUCGGCUGUCACUUACAGAUGGACCCGCGGCGCAUUAGCUAGUUGGUGGGGUAAUGGCUCACCAAGGGACGAUGCGUAGCCGACCUGAGAGGGUGAUCGGCCACACUGUCAUGAGACACGGCCCAGAUCCUACGGGAGGCAGCAGUAGGGAUCUUCCGCAAUGGACGAAAGUCUGACGGAGCAACGCCGCGUGAGUGAUGAAGGUUUUCGGAUCGUAAAGCUCUGUUGUUAGGGAAGAACAAGUGCGAGAGUAACUGCUCGCACCUUGACGGUACCUAACCAGAAAGCCACGGCUAACUACGUGCCAGCAGCCGCGGUAAUACGUAGGUGGCAAGCGUUGUCCGGAAUUAUUGGGCGUAAAGGGCUCGCAGGCGGUUUCUUAAGUCUGAUGUGAAAGCCCCCGGCUCAACCGGGGAGGGUCAUUGGAAACUGGGAAACUUGAGUGCAGAAAGGAGAGUGGAUUCCACGUGUAGCGGUGAAUGCGUAAGAUGUGGAGGAACACCAUGGCGAAGCGACUCUCUGGUCUGUAACUGACGCUGAGACGAAAGCGUGGGAGCGAACAGGAUUAAUACCCUGGUAUCCACGCCUAACAUGAUGCUAAUGUUAGGGGUUCCGCCCUUAUGCUGCACUAACGCAUAACACUCCCCUGGGAGUACGGUCGCAAGACUGAACUCAUG